CCUACGGGAGGCAGCAGUGAGGAAUAUUGGUCAAUGGACGAGAGUCUGAACCAGCCAAGUAGCGUGAAGGAUGACUGCCCUAUGGGUUGUAAACUUCUUUUAUAAAGGAAUAAAACGAGGCACGUGUGCCUUUUUGCAUGUACUUUAUGAAUAAGGAUCGGCUAACUCCGUGCCAGCAGCCGCGGUAAUACGGAGGAUCCGAGCGUUAUCCGGAUUUAUUGGGUUUAAAGGGAGCGUAGGUGGGUUGUUAAGUCAGUUGUGAAAGGUUGCGGCUCAACCGUAAAAGUGCAAUUGAUACUGGCAGUCUUGAGUACAGGUGAGGUAGGCGGAAUUCGUGGUGUAGCGGUGAAAUGCUUAGAUAUCACGAAGAACCCCGAUUGCGAAGGCAGCUUACUAAACUGGGACUGACAUUGAUGCUCGAAAGUGUGGGUAUCAAACAGGAUUAGAUACCCGGGUAGUC
rnacentral:rRNA from 1 species